GGUAGCGCACUUGCAUGGGGUGCAAGGGGCCGCUGGUUCGAAUCCAGUCACUCCGACCA
rnacentral:tRNA from 1 species